rnacentral:tRNA from 1 species
GAGGGUAUAGCUCAGAGGUAGAGCGCAUGCCUAGCAAGCAUGAGAUCCUGGGUUCAAUCCCCAGUAUCUCCA